CAGGGGGGAGCAAAUCCAUCUCUUUUGCCUUUAGGCUCAAUUCUUGUGCGUGCGAGUCUAACCCCUUUUACGAGCUCCUUAUUAGCAGCCCACUAGAGGAUGACUUAAUAAAGUAGAGGAAAAAGUUGUCUUUAAUGAAUGAGCGACUCUUCCCUUUUGAGAUACUAUUCACAUUCUUUCUAGCACUCCCCACUGGAGAAGUUUAUAAUAUAUGUUUGGUUUAAUUAGACAUAGAGCUAUGGCAUGGUGACUACAGGGCUUCGCAUCUUUUAAGAGCUUCUCAAUGUUGAAGUACUGGUAAGAGUUACUCGGUAACUAUGCUGGUGAGAGAUAGCAGGUAUUCCGUGGAAUUAAUCGAGGUGCGCACAAGAUGUCCAAACAUUGCCUAGUUGGAACAAGAGCAACCUGAAACCAUCAAUUAGGUGAAUGCUUUUUUUUCUAUGAUUAUACUAUUAUGAUAACUAUGUUAUAGUCCAUGUUGAUCUCUAACGAUGUUAAAUUUCAUAUUUUGGUUAUAUAGGUGAUCUCUGUUGAAGAGUUUUUAGUUUAGCUUUAAGUGUUGGAGAUGAUUCAAAUGUUUUAUGAAAGCUUAAGAUUUAUUUGUCUUUACAGAGUUACCUGGUAUUUGUUACUGCUGGGAGGUCCCGUGAAAUUAAUUGAGAUGCGUGCAACCUAGUUCAGAAACCAUUAUUAUAAAAAAUAAAAAAUAAUAAAAA